rnacentral:rRNA from 1 species
UGAGUAACCUGCCCCUGACUCUGGGAUAAGCGUUGGAAACGACGUCUAAUACGGAUAUGAUCACUGGCCGCAUGGUCUGGUGGUGGAAAGAUUUUUUGGUUGGGGAUGGACUCGCGGCCUAUCAGCUUGUUGGUGAGGUAAUGGCUCACCAAGGCGACGACGGGUAGCCGGCCUGAGAGGGUGACCGGCCACACUGGGACUGAGACACGGCCCAGACUCCUACGGGAGGCAGCAGUGGGGAAUAUUGCACAAUGGGCGAAAGCCUGAUGCAGCAACGCCGCGUGAGGGAUGACGGCCUUCGGGUUGUAAACCUCUUUUAGUAGGGAAGAAGCGAAAGUGACGGUACCUGCAGAAAAAGCACCGGCUAACUACGUGCCAGCAGCCGCGGUAAUACGUAGGGUGCAAGCGUUGUCCGGAAUUAUUGGGCGUAAAGAGCUCGUAGGCGGUUUGUCGCGUCUGCUGUGAAAUCCCGAGGCUCAACCUCGGGCUUGCAGUGGGUACGGGCAGACUAGAGUGCUAGGGGAGAUUGGAUCCUGGUGUACGGAAUGCGCAGAUAUCAGGAGGAACUUGAUGGCGAACGCAUUAUGCUGGGCCGUGAAGAAACC